rnacentral:rRNA from 1 species
UCAAGUUAGUAAGGGCAUAUGGUGGAUGCCAAGGCACAGGAGGCGAAGAAGGACGCGGCAGGCUGCGAAAAUCCACGGGGAGCUGCGAGCGAGCGGAGAUCCGUGGGAAUCCGAAUGGGGCAACCCAUCCCGAUUAAAAUCGGGAUAUCAUACGCUGAACAGAUAGGCGUAUGAGGCGAACCCGGGGAAGUGAAACAUCUCAGUACCCGGAGGAAGAGAAAUCAAACGAGAUUCCCCCAGUAGCGGCGAGCGAAGAGGGAAUAGCCCAAACCCCUCUUACAACCAAGUAGACAGCAAACAGUAGGUAGUAGACAGGUCAGGAAACAGAUCAAUGUUUAUUCUCUGUGUGCUACAUGUUAUCUACUGUCUACUUCGUUGUAGGAGGGGGGUUGUAGGACCGCGUGAGUAGGAAGGCUGCAUGGUAGCUGAAUGUUCUGGAAAGUACAUCCGUAGGGGGUGACAGGCCCGUAGGCGAAACCAUGCAGUUACCGAAGCGGUAACCUGAGUACCACGGGGCACGUGGAACCCUGUGGGAAGCUGGGGGGACCACCCUCCAAGGCUAAAGACUACCUGGUGACCGAUAGUGGACGAGUACCGUGAGGGAAAGGUGAAAAGAACCCUGGUGAAGGGAGUGAAAUAGAACCUGAAACCGUAUGCCUACAAGCAGUCAAAGCCGUGCGCGGCACGGGAAUUCUAAAUUCAAGUAUCGAAAUCCUAAGCAAUGACAAAUGACCAAAAUUCAAAACAGGUUAAGACAUUGAAAUCUUUGAAUUUGUUUAGGAUUUAGUGCUUGGUGCUUGGGAUUUGCGUGCUGCGCGCGGUGAUGGCGUGCCUUUUGAUUAAUGAGCCGGCGAGUUACUGGCUGUAGCGAGGUUAAUCCCGGGGACGGGAGGAGCCGCAGGGAAACCGAGUCUUAACAGGGCGAAUGAGUUACAGUCAGUAGACCCGAAGCCAGGUGAUCUACCCAUGGACAGGGUGAAGUCCCGGUAAAACGGGAUGGAGGCCCGAACCGGUGUUUGUUGCAAAAAGCUCGGAUGAGCUGUGGGUAGGGGUGAAAGGCCAAUCAAACCUGGUGAUAGCUGGUUCUCCCCGAAAUGUAUUUAGGUACAGCCUCAGUGCAGUCCCAUGGGGGUAGGGCACUGGAUGGGCUAGGGCCUCGUAUGGGGUACCAAACCCAACCAAACCACGAAUACCAUGGAGAUGGUCGCUGGGAGUGAGACUACGGGUGCUAAGAUUCGUGGUCGAGAGGGAAACAGCCCAGACCGUCAGCUAAGGUCCCUAAGGAUAUGCUAAGUGGUAAAGGAUGUGGUGUUGCGCAGACAGCCAGGAUGUUGGCUUAGAAGCAGCCAUCAUUGAAAGAAAGCGUAACAGCUCACUGGUCAAGCGACACUGCGCCGAAAAUUUAACGGGGCUUAAGCAUAUCACCGAAGCUACGGACUUCAGUGCUUCGCACUGGAAAUUCUAAAUUCGAAUAUCUAAAUACUAAGCAAAUCCAAAUGACCAAAAUUUCAAGGUAAUUAUGGGUAUUGUUUAGAGUUUAGGAUUUAGUGCUUAGAGCUUCCAAUGCGGGGCAUUGGAGUGGUAGGGGAGCAUUCUGUAGGCCUGUGAAGGCGGGUCGUGAGGCCUGCUGGAGGUGGCAGAAGAGAUUAUGCCGGCAUAAGUAGCGCAAAUUCUGAUGAAAAGUCAGGACGCCGUAAACCUAAGGUUUCCCGGGGAAGGGACAUCCGCCCGGGGUUAGUCGGACCUAAGGCGAGGCCGAAAGGCGUAGCUGAUGGAUAACUGGUUAAUAUUCCAGUACCGUCUUGUGUGCGUUUGACCGAAGGGGUGACGCAGUAGGAUAGUUCAAGCCUGGUGAUGGUUCAGGUCCAAGCGUUGAGGCUGGUGGUUAGGCAAAUCCGGCCACCGUAAAGGCUGGGGCGUGAUGGGGAAGGCCGUAAGGCUGAACUUGGGCGAUUUCACACUGACGAGAAAACCCUCGUAGGGAGCACAUGGGAUGACCGUACCGCAAACCGACACAGGUAGGUGGGUAGAAGAUACCAAGGCGUUCGAGAGAACCCUCGCUAAGGAACUCGGCAAAGUGACCCCGUAACUUCGGGAGAAGGGGUCCCUCCGCAAGGAGGGCGCAGUGAAGAGGCUCAGGCGACUGUUUAGCAAAAACACAGGUGUCUGCUAACUCGUAAGAGGAUGUAUAGGCACUGACGCCUGCCCGGUGCCGGAAGGUUAAUGGGAGAGGUCAUCUUCGAAAGGGGAGAAGCCUUGAACUGAAGCCCUGGUAAACGGCGGCCGUAACUAUAACGGUCCUAAGGUAGCGAAAUUCCUUGUCGGGUAAGUUCCGACCCGCAUGAAUGGCGUAACGAUCUGAGCGCUGUCUCGGCGAGGGGCUCGGCGAACUUGAGAUACCGGUGAAGACGCCGGUUACCUGCAACUAGACGGAAAGACCCCGUGCACCUUUACUAUAACUUGGCAGUGAGCUUUGGUGAUGUAUGUGUAGGAUAGGUGGGAGGCUGCGAAGUGGGGACGUUAGUUUCCAUGGAGCCAACGUUGAAAUACCACCCUUACCUUACUGGGGCUCUAACCUGUCCCCCUGAUCGGGGGAAGGGACACUGUCUGGUGGGUAGUUUGACUGGGGCGGUCGCCUCCCAAAGAGUAACGGAGGCGUCCAAAGGUCUCCUCAGGCUGGACGGAAACCAGCUGUCGAGUGCAAAGGCAUAAGGAGGCUUAACUGUGAGGCUGACGGGCCGAUCAGAUACGAAAGUAGGGCUUAGUGAUCCGGUGGCACUGAGUGGAAGGGCCAUCGCUCAACGGAUAAAAGGUACGCCGGGGAUAACAGGCUUAUCGCGUCCAAGAGUUCACAUCGACGACGCGGUUUGGCACCUCGAUGUCGACUCAUCGCAUCCUGGGGCUGAAGUAGGUCCCAAGGGUUGGGCUGUUCGCCCAUUAAAGCGGUACGUGAGUUGGGUUCAGAACGUCGUGAGACAGUUCGGUCCCUAUCUGCUGUAGGCGCAGGAGACUUGAGGGGAGCUGUUCUUAGUACGAGAGGACCGGAAUGGACAGACCUCUGAUGUUCCAGUUGUCAUGCCAGUGGCAAUGCUGGGUAGUUAUGUCUGGAAGGGAUAACCGCUGAAGGCAUCUAAGCGGGAAGCCCACCCCAAGAUUAAGUCUCCCGACCCGCAAGGGUCCUAAAGGUUCCUGAUAGACUAUCAGGUUGAUAGGCUGGAGGUGUAAGUAGAGUAAUCUAUUCAGCUUACCAGUACUAAUAGACCGUGUGCCUUGACCAC